GUGUCAGCCGCCGCGGUAAUACGUAGGAAGCAAGCGUUGCCCGGAAUUACUGGGCGUAAAGAGCUCGUAGGCGGGGGCGUGCGUCCGAGAAGAAAUCUCAAGGCUCAACCUUGGGGCUAUCUCGGAUACGGCGCUUCUUGAGGGUGAGAGAGGAAAGCGGAAUUCCAGGUGUAGCGGUGAAAUGCGUAGAUAUCUGGAGGAACACCAGCGGCGAAGGCGGCUUUCUGGCUCAUUCCUGACGCUGAGGAGCGAAAGCGUGGGUAGCGAACGGGAUUAGAUACCCCAGUAGUCC
rnacentral:rRNA from 1 species